UACAGAGGUCUCAAGCGUUGUUCGGAUUCAUUGGGCGUAAAGGGUGCGUAGGCGGCGCGGUAAGUCGGGUGUGAAAUCUCGGAGCUUAACUCCGAAACUGCAUUCGAUACUGCCGUGCUUGAGGACUGGAGAGGAGACUGGAAUUUACGGUGUAGCGGUGAAAUGCGUAGAUAUCGUAAGGAAGACCAGUGGCGAAGGCGGGUCUCGUGGACAGUUCCUGACGCUGAGACGCGAAAGCGUGGGGAGCAAACAGG
rnacentral:rRNA from 1 species